GAUGAAGAACGUAGCGAAAUGCGAUAAGUAAUGCGAAUUGCAGAAUUCAGUGAAUCAUCGAAUCUUUGAACGCACAUUGCGCACGCUAGUAUUCUGGCGGGCAUGCCUGUCUGAGCGUCAUUUCAACCCUCGCCCCCGGCUUUUGCUGGGAGCGGUGUUGGGGAUCGGCCGCCCGUCACUGGGAGGCCGGCCCCGAAAUAGAGUGGCGACCACGCCGUGUGCUCCUCUGCGUAGUAGUAAAUCACCUCGCAGGCGGACAGCGGUGCGGCCUGCCGUAAAACCCCCAACUCUUUCUGGUUGACCUCAGAUCAGGUAGGAAUACCCGCUGAACUUAAGCAUAUCAAUAAGCGGAGGA
rnacentral:misc_RNA from 1 species